UUUUAGCAAGAUCGUGCCAGCAGCCGCGGUAAUACGUAGGGGGCAAGCGUUAUCCGGAAUUACUGGGUGUAAAGGGUGAGUAGGCGGUUUGGAAAGUCNUAUGNGAAAGCCCGAGGCUCAACCUCGGGAUUGCAUAANAAACUCUCGAACUAGAGUACAGGAGAGGNAAGCGGAAUUCCUAGUGNAGCGGUGAANUGNGUAGAUAUUAGGAAGAACACCAGUGGCGNANGGGGNUUACUAGACUGAAACUGANGCUGAGUCACGAANGCGUGGGGAGCGAACAGGAUUAGAUACCCUGGUAGUCCACGCUGUAAACGAUGAGUGCUAGGUGUCGGGGGGAGACUCUCGGUGCCGCAGCUAACGCAAUAAGCACUCCACCUGGGGAGUACGGUCGCAAGAUUGAAACUCAAAGGAAUUGACGGGGGCCCGCACAAGCGGUGGAGCAUGUGGUUUAACUCGAAGCAACGCGAAGAACCUUACCNAGGCUUGNCGNCCCUUUGACCGGUGUAGAGAUACACCUUUCCUUCGGGACAAAGGUGACAGGUGGUGCAUGGUUGUCGUCNGCUCGUGUCGUGAGAUGUUGGGUUAAGUCCCGCAACGAGCGCAACCCUUAUUUUUAGUAGCCNGCACGUUAUGGUGGGCACUCUANAGAGACUGCNGUGGAUAACACGGAGGAAGGUGGGGACGACGUCNAAUCAUCAUGCCCCUNAUGUCUUGGGCAACACACGUGCUACNAUGGNACGGUACAAAGUGACGCNNCUAGUGAUAAUGAGCAAACCACAAAAAAACGUCCUC
rnacentral:rRNA from 1 species